GAAGUGGAGCAACACUAGCUAGUUCGGCGUUUUCAAACAGAGAAGAAACGCCACGGUUUGUGGCGUUAUCAAAAGGGUCAGAUUGUAAAAUAGUUUUGUGUGAAGUUCAUUUCGUGCGAAAGUUUCCUAAAAAGGUCAAAAUAGUGAAAAAGGCCGAAAGUGUACGGGUGGUCCCUUACAUCUUACAAGUUAUAAGUGGUCAGAUUAAGCAAAGAUAUAUUUAACAUGCGCGCUAGUGUAUGAAAUGCAUUUACUAGUUUAUGAACUUAUCUAAUUAACUCCGCUCUGAAGUGAACUGGCCACUGCCACCUGCAUUAAGAAUAGGUCUUUUAUCACCCAGAAACUCUAUAGAAAAAUCUAAAUUUUUGGCGCCAUCUUAGCACUAUGUUUUUUCUGUUCAUCAGUAAUUAAAUGGUUUCCUUUCCAUUUUCUUUUCAUGGUCUUGUUUUAAUAUCUUUAUGGAUGCUCCUGGUUGAUCACUUUAUUUAUUGUUCCUUGUUUACCAUGUCAUGACCUUUUUUACAGAGUUUAUUAAAUGGAGCAAGUAUUCCAAGUUGUUUCUGAGAAGGUCUCUAGCUCUGUUGUGAUUGUUCGACAGCAUCCAUAUGGUCGAUAUUGUGUUGGUUCUGUAGUUUCCCCUCCAUCAAAUACCAAUACAACAGCAAUAAUGACAUCCUCGCGUUUGAGUGAAGAAAGCGGUAGAAUCUUUGUUCACUUCAAUGACAACACUGAACUGGAAGCAAGGAGAUUAGUGUCUGCAGAUCGAUUCACUUUGCUAGAAGUUGACUACAAAGCUGGUUGCAGUAUGAUUGAAUUUAGUAAAAUAGAUGUUAAUCAACCCUCAGAUGCUUUUAUUCUCGCUCCUAACUCGAAAUCCUGUUUAUCACAUAUCCCAGCAUUUGUGGUACAGCCUUCCUGUGCUGCAAGGGAUGCCAAAAUGAAUAACAUCGAAGGAUCUGAGAAUUACUUUUUGGUCUUAUGUCGCUCUGGGAACUUGCUUAACGUAGGAUAUGCUAUUCAGAACCAGUUAAUGUCUGCUCCGGUUUUUGAUUUAAACGGCAAAGUUAUUGGGCUAGUGACUUCUCAGUGUGGCACGGAUAAGACCAAAAAUGAUAUCAAGAUUGGACUUUUAGCCUCUCAUGCUCAGAAGAUUCGUGAUGACCUACUAGAGGAAAGCAAGAAAGAAAUGAAGGUAGCUGAGCGCUCUGAGGAAAGCAAGCAGCAUGAAGAAGGAGCUGAGACUAACAGCUCCGCGGGUACAAGAAAAAAGAAAAGGAGACUCAUGAAGGGAGGAAAGCCAGUAUGCUGAUGUACGCUUGCCUUGGCGUAUUCCGUAGUAAGUGUGGUCCCUUCAUUGAAGCUGAAGCAUGAACAGAAGAAACUGAUGGUGAGGGUUUAGAUAGUUGGCACGCUAACGGCACUGGGCUGAUAUUUCCGUUUUAUCACUUCAUGCAAAUCUGGCAGCGAUGGAUGACUGUACCAGCUUCCAAGGGUGCUGGGACGAAGGCAUAGCCUCUUUUUGUUGGUUGACAAGCGUGUCUUGACACUCUUUUUUGUAUUACCAUCUUAUUCAAUUCUGAUAGCGAGCAAGGGCCGUUCAAACUUCCAGGUGUGCUGGGACACACGCAUAGGUUUUUUGUUGUGGUGGGCAAGCGUGUCUUGUCCUGACAGUGGCACCUUGGAGUCUUGUUAGCAAUGGUGGUCCAUUUUGGGAAUCAUGGUGAACCGCUAAUGUCGGAUUCUUGUAGGGAGAUGGCAGAUUUGCUAAUUGGGUUUGUAACUUCUGGGAAUAGCUGUUGCUAAACAUUAAUUUAAAAACAGGUUGCAUGCA